CAGCAGCUCCAGGUUACAUUCUACCAAUUUAGUAACCCUAGCAGAAAGCAUCUCUAUCAUUCUCAGGUAAGACUGUCAUUGGUCCAUCUUGGGUCACGUGGACAUUUCUGAAACAAUCACUGUGUCUGAGGUGUGUUGUGUUGCUCUGGUUGGCCAGGACUAAUGCUGGAGUUUGGGUCAGCCCAACCAGAACUAUAUGGAUUGAGAAUGGGGAUGGAAAAGUCAUGAUAUCAGAAAAGAAGGGAUGAUGGGCAGGUAAAAUGGAUGUCCAUCACACACACAUCCAUUGAACUAGUGGGACUCAACAGUCUCUGAUACAGGUUGCCUAUGCCUCAAUAGACACUAUGGGUGAUUCUCCGAUCUAUCCUCAAAGGGCUCACUACACAGGGCUGUGCUUUUCCUAGUUUGGUCUCAAGGGUUGCACUGUUCUGCAGACCAGUUAUAUAACAAAGCAUUCUGUUCAAGGGAAAUGGCUCAUGCCUGGCUUGAGUUCUGUGGUGGCCUGGGCCAGCUGAGUGAAAGAGACAGGUAUCUAAUACCACAAGGGGACACAGUGUCAGCUGCAGAAGCACUGAGCAGGCCAAAUCUGCCAUUGGGAGGGCAUACUGACAGAUAGCAAGCUGUAACAUAGGCCAGCAGUUGGUAUCUGAAGCCAAACAGAAAAUGAUGUGUUGUCUUACUGAGAAGAAUUCUGAGAUAGUAGAUACUCAGGUUUUCGGACAAAUAGAUAAGUCUGGUCAGCUGGUAGUAGGACCCCAGUCCCUGGACUAAAGUUCGGGGACAUUCCAGUCCCAAGGAGUGGGUAAUUGAAAGGAACAGGCAGGCAUGCCCCAGUUGCGGGGUUAUCAGGAUUGGAUGUAAGGCACCAGGACUGGGUCUGGAGUCCAAGGCAGGGCUGAGUCUUAAUGAAACUGAAGGUCAUCUAUCUGAUAGAACUUGGGUAUAAGUUCAGACGAGCAACCCUAGCUAGAGUGAGGGACUAAAGUGCCAUAAAUUCCUCCUUCUGUGUGGGAUCCAAUGACCAGAUCAAGCCUGAGCCUACAGGUGCUAUUGAUGGCCUCAGCUAAGGGGAAGGAGGGAGACAGAAGAUGGCCCCACCACAAGGUCUAACAAAUUACAAAAUAUAAAAGGCAUGUGUUCUCUCAUUGGAAUGCAUAACUUAGUAAAAAUUAAAUUGAAAAAUUUCAGCUGGGAUGUAUUAAGAAACAAAGAACUGGGAAAGAAAUGAUGCACUUCUAAUUGGAUGUUAAAUGAGAUAUCCCUAUUUCCUUAGUUCAGAGCCUAGAAUAAUAGGUUACAAGUGCCCCCGUGUUGCAAGGAGAUGUGUCAGAUCAUUUAAGCAUGACUUGCUCAGGGGGUAGCCCCCUAAUUGGUUCUAAAACCUGUAGACUGUCACCCACUUUUGUCCUGAGAAAAGAAAAUUAAGGAGAAGAGGGUUUUUUAAAGUUUAUUUAUUUAUUUUGAGAAUGAGAGUGUGCAGGCAGGAGAGGGGCAAAGAGAGAGGGAGGGAGAGAGAGAGAAUCCUAAGCAGGUUCAGAGCUGUCAACACAGAGCCUGAGGUGGGGCUUUAACUCACAAACCGUGAGAUCAUGACCUGAGACAAAACCAAGAGUUGGACGCUUAAAUGACUGAGCCACUCUUGCACCCUAGGAGAAGAGGCUUAAAAAGCAAGGAUUUCUUUGAAGACAAUUUUCAGAGUGCUGUGUUUGUCUCACUUUCUAGUCAAGGGAAGGGAAAGAGUGGGGAUCUGCCAGGAAAGGAGACUGACUGACAUCUCAUGGCCAUGUGUGCUGAGUGGAAGAAAUGCCCCCGAGGUAGCUGGGAGGUAGAGCAGAGUGUAUGGAGAUAAGAGUUUUGGGGACAAUCUGACCUGAGUGUCCAGAGUUGUGAGGUAGAGGGACUGAUGUUUUAUCUCAGUCCUGAGGGCUAGGUCAGAGGCUGGAGGACCAAAGACUGUAAGUUAAAGGGAUUGGAAGGGAGAGUUGACAGAGUGAGUUUGAAAGGCAGUAGUAAGAAAGAAUAAAUUAAGAAAGAAUAAAAUUGUUCUUUCCUUUGUAUAAAAGGGAAGACUGAGUUUUCUUUUUAGCUGUGCCACAUAUUAGCUGGGCGAGUGUGGAAAACCACUUGAUCUUUCUGGGUCUCAGCUUUCUUUUCUAUAAAAAGAAAAAUUGGAUUAGACUGUCUUUUUUUUAAUUAAAAAAAAUUUUUUUUUAAUUUUUAGAGAGAGAAAGUGAGUGGGGAGAGGGGCAGAGGGAGAGAGAAUCUCAAGCAGGCUCCAUACUCAGCAUGGAGCCUGAUGCAGGGCUCGAUCCCAUGACCCUGGGAUCAUGACCUGAACCAAAAUCAAGAGUAGGACACUCAACCCAGUAAGCACCCCUGGACUGGACUGUCCUCAAGUUAUCUUCCAUGACUUUCUAAUUCCAUGGGUGUAUUCGGCUGAACUCUAUGGUGACUCCUGGACUAGAGCAGAUUAUUAUAGUAUAUAUACAUUCUAUUACACUAGAUGCUAGAAAUUCGGGUCUCAAGGGUACAGCAUUAUCCCCUUCCCCACCCCCCUUUUCUCUUAACAAGUAUUUAAAAGAUGAACUAACUUAAAAACUUCAUAGGAAAAAGUCACCCAUAAUACUACCAACCUGACAUAUAACUAAUUAUAUUUUGGUACUUUCCUUUCCAGAUCUUGACCACUUACACAUGUAUUUGCUCUGGGUGCAAUCACUACCACACACUUUUUGUGUUCUUAUAGCACACCAGUUCAAUAAUAAACUGUUCAUGACCAAGAGGAAAAAGCUUAGAGUGCUUCCAAUUAUUGCACAAUAAGAGUAGGCAAGGAACAAGCUGGCCUUUGAUAAUACAGUCUUUUGGGGCACAGGACUACUCUGGUGUAGCCUCUCUUUCUUCUUAAGUCCCCUUCCCCCAUCCCCACCUUCACUUCCUGAUCCUUUAGCAACAACAGGAACUCAAGAGGCCCAGUAGGGCUAAGCCACAGCAGCCUGUGAUCUACAUGACAUUCAUUCUGAGAUUGUUUCUGGGUUAGAAAUACCAGAUGAUCCAUUUAGCAGACAUCACGACAGCCACCAGAGAGUUAUGUCAAGCCCUGAAAACCACAGAGAAAACUAGUAUCAAGGGGGAUAGAGAGAUGUACUGGUGAUUCUACUGUUGUUAAGGUAGGAAUGAGGAGAUGUUUGCAGAUGAUCAGUAGGGUGAUGACACUCCACCCACUUCAGUGCCAACACUUCUGCCUCCAUCCCUAUGACUUCAGUCUUAAUCACAGGAGCACAACUGAGUCCAGCGCCAUCAAAGUCAAGUUUUUGGAGCAGCCUUUGUACUUCCUCACCUACACAGAGAAGGAGAUGUCUCAUUUUAAACCUUGAGAUGCUGUGUCUUAUAACAGUCUGGUAUUAUGGAAACUUAAAGAACAGAGCUGGAGGUAAAGGGCAAUGGGCCUACAGAAGCAGGUAGGUAGGACUGGUUCAUGGAGUCCCUGGGGCUUGCAGGGGCGGAGGAGUCUCAGACAAUUUGAAGCAGGGAUGUGACAUGCUCAGAUUUGUGUUUUAAAAAGAUCACUCUGGUAAAAGUGUGGGUAAUUACUUGAAAACGCCAAGACUGGAGGCAGAGACCUGAAGUUAUCAUAAUUCCGUGAAGACAUUAAAAUUUGUAGAAAAAACAUAGGAUUUCAUUAUUAGAAGAGAAAAAGGACAAAAUGUGCAAGAUGCUAGAGAGAAUACCAUCCCCUUGGAGAGUUCCACAGCUGAAAUAUCUUCUGUGUGGGUUGCCUUCUUAUUUGGCAUUGAACAUGCUAAAGAAAUAUGAGUUCACAUUAUAUUCUGAUUACAAAAACAAUUGAUACUCAUUGUAAACAUUUCAAACAUUUCAGAAAUAUUUCAUUUAGGAAGUAAAAGUCCUGCACAAUCCACCCCUUACCCCUCACCCCGAGGUAAUAGCUGUUGCUAGUAAAAUACCUUUCUCACAGUGGGAAAUCCUGCUCUUACCAAAGGACUUGAAAUGCCUUACAACCAGAUCUCAAAAGGCAAUGCAAUGCUCAGAUUCCCCAAAGAGUAAAUGAUGAAAGAGUAUUCAGAGAAGGAAAGCUAUACAGAAAUAACUGGGUGAAAAAGAUUAAAUGCUAAAGGAGGUAAUUCCCAAUUAUAUCUCCUGCUCAAGGGUUCACUUGCCUGAAGCUAUCUAGGGUACUUGGCUAAGUGGGUGGCUAGUGUUCACUUCAGUGGAAUAAAUAAGCUGUAAAAGUUUACCUUCAUUCUUGUUAACUGUUGAUAUGCUGCAGUUUACUUUUGGAAAGAAAAAAGUGUAUUCCUGAGGCUAAAAAGGGUUUUCUAUUCCUAGCAGGUGUGUUGACCUGGUAGAUAACAAUAGAAAAUAGUUAAGAUCACAGGAAUCUACCCCCAAAACCAAGAGUACACUGUAUACGCUUUAUGUUAGCCAACUUGACAAUAAAUUAUAUUUUUAAUAUAUUUUUUUUCAACGUUUAUUUAUUUUUGGGACAGAGAGAGACAGAGCAUGAACGGGGGAGGAGCAGAGAGAGAGGGAGACACAGAAUCGGAAACAGGCUCCAGGCUCUGAGCCAUCAGCCCAGAGCCUGACGCGGGGCUCGAACUCCCGGACCGCGAGAUCGUGACCUGGCUGAAGUCAGACGCUUAACCGACUGCGCCACCCAGGUGCCCCAAUAAAUUAUAUUUUUAAAAAAAGGAAAAUAAUUCAGGAUCUUUGUGCCCAUGUGUACUUGUCAGAUUGGGAUAUUAACACCUCCUGACUCCCUAGACAGGUAAUGAAGCAGUUGAGUGAUUUCUUCUUGGUCACUUGCUUUUGAAAUGACAGGGGAAAAAUCUAGAUUUGAGGCCUUUUUAAGAAAGGAAUUGUCCAUUCUAGACAAUUCUUGGAGAAUUUCUUUAGAAAGAAAGCCUUUCUUGGAACCCAUCCUGAGGUUUAACAAUUUUUACCAUCAGGAAUCCUGAACUUUUUCAGGGCACCUGGCUGGCUCAGUUAUUUGAACCUCCAACUCUUGAUUUUGGUUCAGGACAUGAUCCGAGGGUCAUGGGAUUGAGCCCUCAGUUGGGCUCUGUGCUGAGCAUGGAGCCUUAAGAUUCUGUCUUUCCCUCUGUCCCCUCUCCCUAAUUCAUGUGUGCUCUCUCUCUCUAAAAUAAAUAAAUAAGUAAAAAUAAAUAAAUAAAUAAAUAAAUAAAGUAAUUAAUUAAAUAAAUAAAAUAAAAAUAGAAAGAAAGAAAGAAAGAAAGAAAGAAAGAAAGAGAAAGAAAGAAAAAUUCUGAACUCUUUCGAUUGCUAUAACAGAAACUUAAUUCAGACAAUCUUCUGUGAAAAAAGGAAGGUUACUGUUUCAUGCCUCUAACACUUGACAAAGGUAGAGUUGGUUUCAGGUAUACAAACUUCUUUGGGAAUUAUAAUUAGAUUCGAGAAAUUCUACUUCAGUACCUGCAUGAUGCUUGAGUGGAGGAGGCACAUUCUUAGAAGUUGUGGAAUGGUCAUGUUUGGCCAUAUGCAUGGUCAAAACAUUGAGAGCUAGUCUUUGAUGGCAGAGGAUGCCAAAACAGCUGUGCAGAAAGAAAUAGAAAGAUGGUAAGGGGAUGAUGCUUUGCUGAAAUACCUUUUCUUUGCACUAGUUUGAUGUGAAUUUCUCUUAGUUGCAACCCAAAGAAUCAUGACUGCUAUGGAUUGAAUAUUUGUGUCCCCUCAAAUUUCAUAUGUUGAAGACUUUAAUCCCCAAUAUGAUGGUAUUUGGAGUGGGGAGGCCUUUGAGAGAUGAUUAGAUUUAAAUGAGGUGAUUGGGUGGAGCCCCCAUGAUGGGUUAAUGCCCUUCUAAGCAUUGGAAGAGAUACUAGAACUCUCUUUCUCUGCCAGAUGAAGAAGGAAACAAGAAGGCAGCUGUCUGCAAGUCAGGAAGAAAAUCCUCACCAGGAGCCAAAUCAGCAGGCACCUUGGUCUUGGACUUCCCAGCUUCCAAAACAGUGAGAAAUAAACAUCUGUUGUUUAAGCCACCUAGUCUAGGUAUUUUGUUAUGGUAACCUGAGCUGACUAGGACAAUGACUAAGAAAACUACUAGAGAAAAUUAGUAAUAGCCUUUGUUGUAUACUCUCUAAAAGAUGUAGAGAAAACAUCUAUGCUUUGAGAGGGAAACCUCUCAAAGGUCAUCAAUUUCUAGUUGCCAAACCCAAUGAUUCUCAUUCAGUUUCCAUUCUUCUUUGCCAUGUUGACUGUCCUUGCCUUCUUUUUGUUUUUUUAAGUUUGUUUAUUUAUUUAUUUUGAGAUAGAGGGAGCACAAGCAGGGGAGGGGCAGAGAGAGGGAGAGAGAGAAUCCCAAGCAAGCUCCACGCUGUCAGUGCUGAGCCCAACUCAGGGCUCAAUUUCACUGACCACAAGAUCAUGACCCGAGCCAAAAUCAAGAGUCAGUUGCUUAACUGAGUCACCCAGGUGCCCCAUCUGUCCUUGCCUUCUUGAAUCUCUUCUACUUUGGCCUCUGUGACUCCCCCCAUCCAUGGAUUCUCCUUUUACUUUUCUGACAGCUCUUUCUCUGUAUCCUUCAGUCUUUUCUUUUCUCCACUUGCCCUAUACAGGAGAUCUCUGAGAUUUGUUCUUGGACAUCCUAUCCUCUUGCUCUACCCACUUUGCUGAAUAAUUUUAUUUACUCCCACAAUUUUCUGUCUCACUCAUAGGCUGUUCCUACAUAUCAUUUCCUCAUUUAUUAUUCAUAGCCUUAAAGUUUGCUGAGCUUUAGGUCCUGAUUUUUACUGUCCUGGUGAAUACCUCCACCUGCAUAAGAUGCAAAGACUAUAAAUAUGUCCCAAACUGAACUUCUCCUUACCCUAAUCUAGUCUCAAAACACUUUUUUAGUUACCAGUACCUCUAAUACUGGCAAUCCACACUCUCUUCCAGGCUCUAGCUCAGUUUUAUAGGCUUCCUUCACCAACACCGCUUCUCCUCUACCCCAUUCCAUUCUCACUUUCUUGUCUAAAUCCUGCCUUGUCCAAUGUUCAUUUUCCUCCUUUUGCUUUGUUGACUACUGCUUUCCAAGAACAUGCCAUACAUUUUUAUGCUUCCAUGAGUUGCUUAUGGUUUCCUUCUCCUUGGAACGCUGUUUCCCCACUGUUACCUAUCUAAAUCCUACUCAUCUUUCAAAAUCCAACUCAAAUGCUAAUUCUUCUAUGGAGCCUCCUGACACACCUUGUCAAAACCAAGCAUUCACCUCUUUGGGCUCCCACAGAACCACCAGAACAAGUACUAUAAUCCUUUUGGAGUUAUUGUGAGUUACGUAUUUUCUUUUCUCUCCUGGUAGCGUGUGAUUUUUCUUGAGGGAAGGAAGCAUCAUAACAGUGCACUGCACAAUUCAGAUGCUCAAUAACAUUUGUCAAAUUGAAUCAGAGAAGAAAAUAAUUGAAAAAAAUGAAGAUAUCUUUAAUAAGAGGCAAAGUUGCUUAAGAAAGACAUUAAUACUUUGGAGGACUAUUCUCUUAUAUAAAGUCUUUGCUGUUAAAAAAAUUGAGUGACAGGGGCACCUGGCUGUGUCAAUUGGUAGAGCAUGUGACUCUUGGUCUUAUGGUCGUGAGUUUAAGUCCCAUAUUGGUUGUAGAGCUUCCUUAACAAAUAACAGUAGAGCGAGAGACAGGCAGUAGCACACAGGGCAGAUUCCUUCUUAACUCUUCUUAGCAGGUGAUUUUCAUUUGGCCUUUACCCUGAAACCCAAGUGGGCCUUCCCUUUAAAAUGUUUUGUUUGAAUAAGCUGAGAUUUCUUAAAAUUCAUAUCUUGAGAGAUUUUAUUGUUUAAGCAGAAGAGAGAACUCUGAACUCACACAUUAUCACAUUAUAUGGUUUUGAUAUGUGGUGGGCUCCACAUAUAUUACUAAUUGGCUUAUGACGAAAUCUAAACCUAUCAGGACAGAAGAAGCAGUAGAACAUAUUAAGUGAAAGCUUGGCUCUGGAGCAGGACUGCCAGAGCCUGAAUUAGGCAAAUUAACUUCUCUGUGCCUCAGUUCCCUCUUGCGUCCAGUGGAGAUUGUAAUGGACCUACUUCACAAGCUUAUUAUGAAGAUUAGACAGAUUGAUGUAUGCAAAGUUCUUGAACAGGCUAGGCACAUGGUAAGCAUUCAGUAAUUAUUCUGUGUUAUUAUUAUUUUCAAUUACCACUUUCAACUGGGAUGGCAAAUCCCUGUCUCCUGUACCUUAAUGACACCCCUGGAAGAUUCUAUGACUUGACUACUACAAUUCAGUUCAAUCUGGUUUCAAACAUCAGUCUCAUGAUUGGUUCAAAGUUCUCUGCCUCACCCAAUACAAGCUAGACUUACUGGCAGGAGGACACUGUGUGACUUUUUCAAUCAUCCUCCUGUUGUAGUGACCUAGAGGGUGCCUGGAGGGGGGGUGGCGUUGGAUCAUGUUCUGGGGCACUGGGUCCCCUUCCCAGUUCUUGGGACUGGGUCAGGAAGAGAGAUGAGACAGUCAGAGCUCUCCUUAUAUAGCUAGCUUCCUCUUGUUAGGAAUGCAUCCCUGAAACUCACUGCUGUGGUUCUCUUUUGUUCUGCUCCUGCUGUGGCCUCUGAUGAAAUGGUAGCCUCCACUGGAUGGGUGCACACUGUUUAGUUUUACCCUAGGUACCUCUUUAGCGUUAGAUUACUGAAGCACAGUUGAUGCUGCAGAGGAGACUGGAAACGAUGCUUGAUUUUGUUGUUUUAUUGUUCUUUUUUUUUUUCUUUUUUUUUAAUUUUUUUUUUCAACGUUUAUUUAUUUUUGGGACAGAGAGAGACAGAGCAUGAACGGGGGAGGGGCAGAGAGAGAGGGAGACACAGAAUCGGAAACAGGCUCCAGGCUCUGAGCCAUCAGCCCAGAGCCUGACGCGGGGCUCGAACUCCCGGACCGCGAGAUCGUGACCUGGCUGAAGUCGGACGCUUAACCGACUGCGCCACCUAGGCGCCCCAGUUGUUUUAUUGUUCUGACAAGAGGGACAGCUUACAAUUAGAACACUCUUAUUUCCCACCAUGCCUGCUGAAUAAGCCUCCAGGGAGGAUGUAUAAUAAAGCUCAAUGUGGCUGAAGCAGAUCACAGACCAGAAGCCCAGAUGCUACUCAAAGGGUUUCUGGAUCUCAAGUAUCUUUAUAUUUUUAUUUUAAAGCUUUUUAAAAUGUUUAUUUGACACAGAAAGAGAGAGAGAGAAAGAAAGAGAGAGAGAGUGAAAGGGGGAGGGGCAGAGAGAGAGGGGGACAGAGGAUCCAAAGCCUGAUCCUGGGCUCGAAUUCAUGAACCAGGAGACAAUGACCUGAGCUCAAGUUGGAUGCUCAACUGACUGAGCCGUCCAGUUGCCCCAUGGAUCAAUUACUUUAAAGAGAGUGAUAACCCAAAAAUAACAUUUAUUGAAUAUCUACUAAAGCUAGGUACUUAUGCCUAAAGCUAGGUAUACAUUAUCUAUUGUAUAUGAUAAGGAUUACUAGUUCUAUUUUACAGAUGAGGAAAGUGAAGGUAAGAGGAAUGAAAUCAAUUGCCAUUAUUUUUGAGGGCCUUGCUCCUUACAUAAAAUUUCCACACUGAUCCAAAAAGAUUUCAGAGAGGAGAGGUGUUUGAGUGGCUCAGUUAAGCCUCUGACUCUUGAUUUCAGCUCAGUUCUUGAUCUCACUUGUUCGUGAGAGGGUUUGUGAGAUGGAGCCCUGAGUUGGGGUCUGCACUUGCUGUGGAGCCUGUUGGGAUUCUCUCUCCCUCUCCCUCUGCCCCUCUCCACUCACAGACUCAGUCUCUCUAUCUCUUAAAAAAAAAAAAAAAAAAAAGAUUUCAGAGAGGCAAUAUUACCAAAGUCAUAUUUUGGACAUUUAGGAUAAAGCUGUGAUUGCUAAUGUUAAUUUUUUUAAUGAUGCAAAUAUACAUCUUUACUUGGUAUUAAUUCAUCACAAGUAUAAAGGCCAUAAAAUAUCUUAAUUUUUACCAUUCUUAUAGUAUUUUCCCCCAGUAUUUACUUAUUUAUUUAUUUAUUUAUUUAUUUAUUUAUUUAUUUAUUUAUAUUUAAAACUCCAGUAUAAUAAACAUACAGUGUUAUGUUAGUUUCAGGUGUACAAUAUAGUGAUUCAACAAUUUUAUACACUACUCAGUCCUCAUCACAAAAGGUAUGCUCUUAGUCCCCUUCACCUAUUGCACAUCCCCCUAUAUUGCCUAUCCCCACCUCUCCUCUGGUAACCAUUAAUUUGUUCUCUGUAGUUCAGAGUCUGUUUCUUGGCUCGUCUCUCUCUCUUUUUUUUCCCCUUUGCUCAUUUGUUUUGUUCCUUAAAUUCCACAUAUGAGUAAAAUCCUAUGGUAUUUGUCUUUCUCUGACCGACUCAUUUCACUUAACGUUAUACUCUCUAGCUCCAUCUGAUGCGGUUUUGGAGUGGUGGUGGGGUCUGAAGCCUAUGGCCAAGAAAGAAUUCUUGAGACAUCUUUGGAGCAAAAGGUGAUUUUAUUAAAGCAUGGGGACAGGACCUGUGGGCAGGAAGAGCUACACAGGGAUUGUGAAGAGUGACUGGUUAUAUAUAUACCUUGGAGUUGGAAGAGGUAAAGGCCAAAGGGAGAUUUCCACAAGGACUUUGAUAUGCUAAAGAUGACUCAUAAGAUACUGGAGGCCUAGCUAUUGUCAAGCUAAGGUUGUUUUUCCCUCUAGCCAAUCAUUAACAUUAAGAUAGUUGGGAGUUUCUGGAGAAAUGGUAUAUUCCUCCUGCCUCAAGUAUUAGCCAAUGGGCUGCAGGUUAUAAAGGAAUUUAAUUGUAUCUACCAUUUCCGUCUUGUCUUUGUUCCUCACAUCACUGUGGAAGGGAUGGUGAUGAUAGGGCUCCAGGAAGCGGAGUCUAUGGGUUUCUAGAGACUAGACUAUUGAUAAGAUUGCCUUUUUUUCUGGUGAUUUACAAAGACAUUUAUAAACUGAUGGAGACAGGAAUAUCACACAUACCCCACCUGAGGGAGGAGGGUUUUGCAGGGUGUCAGCUUGAUUUAUGGUCCCUCAUCACAUUUACACCAUUGAAAAUGGCAAGAUUUCAUUCCUUUUUUAUGCUAAUAUUCUAAUAUAUAUAUAUAUAUAUAUGUAUAUCACUUCUUUAUUCAUCUAAAGAUGGACAUUUGGGAUGCUUCCAUAUCUUGGCUAUUGUAUAAUGCUGCUAUAAACAAAAGGGGUACAUAUGUCUUUUUUUUUUUUUAAUUUACAUCCAAAUUAGUUAGCAUAUAGUGCAACAAUGAUUUCAGGAGUAGAUACCUUAGUGCCCCUUACCCAUUUAGCCCAUCCCCUGCCCUUGCACAACCCCUCCAGUAACCCUCAGUUUGUUCUCCAUAUUUAUGUUUUUGUAUUCUCUGGGUAACUACCCAGUAAGUGGAAUGACUGGAUCAUAUGGUAAUUCCAUUUAAUUUUUUGAGGAACCUUCAUAUUGUUUUCCACAGUGGCUGCACCAGUUUGCAUUCCCACCAAUAGUGCACAAGGGUUCUUUUUUCUUUACACUCUCACCAACACUUGUUGGUUCAUAUCCAUCUUUAUAGUCUUUUCACCAGAGAACUAAAGAAAAGGAUGAUCUUAUUGAUAUUAGUUCAAUGCCCCCCCCCUUUUUUUUUCUCGUGGGCACUUUUUCUAUCCUUUUAUUUUAAUUUUUUUAACGUUUUUUUAUUUAUUUUUGAGACAGGCAGAGACAGAGUAUGAACAGGGAGGGUCAGAGAGAGGGAGACACAGAAUCCGAAACAGGCUCCGGGCUCUGAGCUCUGAGCUGUCAGCACAGAGCCCGAGGCGGGGCUCGAACUCACGGACCGUGAGAUCAUGACCUGAGCUGAAGUCGGCCGCCCAACCGACUGAGCCACCCAGGCGCCCCUUUCUAUCCUUUUAAAAUGUGUCUUCUCAGGGCGCCUGGGUGGCUCAGUUGGUUAAACGUCCAACUUUGGCUCAAAUCGUGAUCUCAUGGUUUGUGGAUUUGAGCCCUGCAUUAGGCUCUGUGCUAACAGCUCAGGGCCUGCUUGGGAUUCUCUCUCCCUCUCUCUCUCUGCCCCUCCCCCACUCUCUCUCUCUCUCUCUCUCUCUCUCUCUCUUUCUCUCUCUCAAAAUAAAUAAACUUUAAAAAAAAGUUUUACUGAAAACUAUAGAAAGCUUAUGAAUGAAAUUGAAGAAGACACAAAAAAUGGAAAAACAUUCCAUGCUCAUGGAUUGGAAGAACAAAUAUUGUUAAAAUGUUGAUAUUGCCCAAAGCAAUCUAUAUAUUCAAUGCAAUCCCUAUCAAAAUAACACCAGCAUUCUUCACAGAGCUAGAACAAACAAUCCUAAAGUUUGUAUGGAACCAGAAAAAUGACCCCAAAGAGCCAANNNNNNNNNNNNNNNNNNNNNNNAAGAAAACCAAAGCUGAAGAAGGCAUAACAAUUCUGGACUUCAAGCUGUAUUACAAAGCUGUAAUCAUCAAGACAGUAUGGUAGUGACACAAGAACAGACACUCAGAUCAAUGGAACAGAAUAGAGAACCCAGAAAUGGACCCCAAAAGGUAUGGUCAACUAAUCUUUGACAAAGCAGGAAAGAAUAUCCAAUGGAAUAAAGACAGUCUCUUCAGCGAGUGGUACUGGGAAAACUGGACAGCGACACGCAGAAAACUGAACCUGGACCACUUUCUUACACCAUACACAAAAAUAAACUCAAAAUGGUUGAAAGACUGAAACGUAAGACAAGAAGCCAUCAAAAUCCUCGAGAAGAAAGCAGGCAAAAACCUCUUUGACCUUGGCCACAGCAACUUCUUACUCUACAUGUCUCCAGAGGCAAGGGAAACAAAAGCAAAAAUGAACUAUUGGGACCUCACCAAAAUAAAAAGCGUCUGCACAGCGAAGGAAACAAUCAGCAAAACUAAAAGGCAACUGGCAGAUGGGAGAAGAUAUCUGUAAAUGACAUAUCAGAUAAAGGGUUAGUACCCAAAAUCUAUAAAGAACGUAUCAAACUCAAUACCCAAAAGACAAAUAAUCCACUGAAGAAAAGGGCAAAAGAUAUGAAUAGACACUUUUCCAAAGAAGACAUCCAGAUGGCUAACAGACACAUGAAAAAAUGCUCAAAAUCACUUAUUAUCAGGGAAAUACAAAUCAAAACCACAAUGAGAUAGCACCUCACACCUGUCAGAAUGGCUAAAAUUAACAAGUCAGGCAACAACAGAUGUUGGCAAGGAUGGGAAAAAAGAGGAACCCUUUUGCACUGCUGGUGGGAAUGCAAACUGGUGCAGCCACUCUAAUAAACAGUAUAGAGUUUCCUCAAAAAAUUAAAAAUCAAAUUACCCCAUGACCCAGCAACUGCACCACUAAGUAUUUAUCCAAAGAAUACAGGUGUGCUGUUUUGAAGCACAUGCACCCCAAUGUUUAUAGCAGUGCUAUUGACAAUAGCCAAAGUAUAAUGGAAUAUUACUCGGCGAUCAACAAGAAUGAAAUCUUGCCACUUACAACAACAUGAAUGGAAUUAGAGUGUAUUAUGCUAAGUGAAAUUAGUCAGUCAGAGAAAGACAAAUAUAUGAAUUCACUCAUGUGGAAUUUAAGAUACAAAACAGAUGAACAUAAAGGAAGGGAAGCAAAAAUAAUAUAAAAACAGGGAGGGGGCAAAACAUAAGAAAUAAUAUAACAUAAACAUAGAGAACAAACUGAGGGUUGCUGGAGGGAUUGUGGGUGGGGGGAUGAGCUAAAUGGGCAAGGGGCAUUAAGGAGGAUGAGCACUGGGUGUUGUAUGUAGGGAAUGAAUCACUGGAUUCUACUCCUGAAAUCAUUAUUGCACUAUAUGCUAACAAACUCAGAUGUAAAUUUUAAAAAGUUUUACAAUGUGUCUUCUCCAUACAUGUGUAAUCUCUUCAUCUUAGUUGAGCAAACUUUUUCAUUAUUAAUUUGCAUGUUCCAUUGAAUAACAGUAUGUUUUAGGGAGACUCUGGCAAGAGCUAAUGAGGAAAACAUGUAUAAUGGUUUCUAAGAUUUGCUAAUGGUUUUUGAUUUCCUCUGAUCUCAGAUCCAAGUGGUGAAACUAGCACUCUGUGUUUUAUACACUCAUACCAUGUAAAGAAACUGGGGCCAAGAGCACAGUUAGAAGUUGGCAAUGGACACAAUAAUCCCAAUUCAUUUCUUUUUCUUUUUGGCAAGAAGAUAAUUCACUGAAAAUUAAAAAUUUUUCUUUUUAAAUCUUUAAAUAAAUCACCCUUCCAAAGCUCUUUCUCUUAGUCACUUGCUUGCCAUCUGUGAACCACCACCAAUUCAAUUAUAAAUAAAUAUUUAUAAAAAUCCUGCUGUGUACCAAGCAGUGCUGGAAUACUGUGGUCACCAAGGGAGACAAGGUGCUUGCUUUCAUGGUGCUUAGGUCUUACCUAGGGAAACGGACAAUAAUCAGAUGAAUAAUAAAAUUUCAGGUGACGUGAUAUGAGGACAACAAGACUAAGUGUCAUGAAGCAGGGUGAUGAGAAGAGUAAUAGCAAGUAGGAUAGUCAGGAACGACCGACAUUUGACUGAAACCUGAAUGACGAGGAGGCAGCUACUCAAAGAUUUGGGAAAAGAGCCUCUCCAGCCAAGGAACUAGCAGGCACAAGGGCCUGGGAAUUAUUUGGCAAUUUUAAUGUUUUGGAUACUGAGAGUAUGAGUCCCCUCUUCAUUCCCCCCAACCCUCACUGACAGAACCCGAUGGCAAGUACAGUGUGAGAUUGAAAGAUUGUGUUUAACUUCUGGAAGUUAAAAGGCUUGUAGGGAAAUAUGCAGAAGUCAAGAAGAAAAUAAAGGUGAACUGAAGCCCAAAUUGUAGUCCAGGCCUACUAAGAAGCUUUCCUAUAAUGAAGGUAAAUUCUACAAUUUGAUUCCGUUUUAUUGAUUCAAUGAUGUUAUUGACUAGCAAAGAAUCCACCCUAAAUCACUCUUCUGUGCUCAUUGCAUCACUUUAUUUAUAACUAAAUGUUUCCUGAAGUAAAGUAGAAAACAACUACUUUGCUCUCCGUAUUUAUACUCCUCAACAGAGAUCCCAUAGUAGACUUUCUUACAUUUGUGGUAAACUACUUUUAACCGUGCAUCAAGGCAAUAAAAAUAGUUUUCAUAAGAUUAUGCCUUUGGAAAUCUGGCACAAAAUGUGAUUUCACUUAGUGAGUGUGGUGUGACAGCUGUAAAUUGUCACAUUCCAGCUUAAUGCUUCAAUAUUGUAUUUUCAGUGUGGCUGAGUUGCUGGUUUUUUCUGGCUUUGAUUGCAUUUUCCACAGAGAAGCUGGCACUCAGACAAAUCCCCUGAGACACCCUCACAAAGAGAUGCUGACAGAUCUCUGUCUCUCAGAGGUUCUAACUGGGCAGUGUUCCAUCCAGACAUGCUGGGCAUGAGCCUGGGUUAUCUGUGUCUGUUGGCCUAUGGGAGGGUCUUCUCAUUUUGUUUUGCCAACAGCCAAGAGAUAUAGAGAGCCCCUUGGGAUGGGAGUUCUGUCCUGGGGCCAACAUGCUCUGGUAGGAAGGCACUGGACCAGUUUAAUAGGGCAAAGAGUCUUAUUCAAAGAAGCCAGAAGUAUUUGAAGAAUCAAAUUUGUCUACCCAGUAUGUGGGUGGGUCAUUGACUAAGUGCUUAAUAAAUAAUUGGUAGAGUGUUCAGGCAUUCUCCUCAAUACUAGUGAUGUAUAGCUGAAUACCUAAUUCAAAGAACUCACCCUAACUUGUUUGGGGAAGUAGCCUGUAGUGGCCAGCCCUUUUUUGGCUGCCCCUUCCCAACCCUAAGACUGCUUAUAACCCAUUCAAUGAAUUUUCAAGUAGUUAUUAUCAAGUACUUCUUAUGGGCCAGGGACUGUGGUCUGCCUAAGAUGUGCAGAAAUGAGCAAGACAGAUUUUUCUAGGAUUAGUAUUGUACACACCAAAAUGUUAUAAUGGUUAUCUUAAGGGGGUAGAAUUAGAUGGAGACAUGGUGAAGGACACUUAAUUUUUCAUUUUGAACUUUACUAUUUGAACUUUUUGUGACAAGCUGUUGGCCAUGAUACUUUUUUGUAUCUCGACAAAAAUCUUCCCUGGGUUCCUGGAUGGCUUAGUUGGUUAAGUGUUGGACUUCAGCUCAGGUCAUGAUCUCACAGUUCGUGAGUUCAAGCCCCAUAUUGGGCUUUGUACUGUCAGUGCUUCAGAUCCUCUGUUUCCCUCUCUCUCUGUCCCUCCUCCUCCUCUCUCUCUCUCUCAAAAAUAAAUAAACAUAUUUUAAAAAGUCUUCUGAGCAACUGUUUGUGCCACUCUUCUGAGCUUUGAGAACACAGCAAUGAAUGAAGCAGAAAAAGUGCCCUGUUCUCACAGAACUUCCAUUCCAACUGGAGAAGCACCACAAAACAAAAUAGUUCACACAAGUAUGCCAUAUAAUGAUGAUCAAUGACAUGUCCUAUGGAAAAAAUAAAUACUUUUUAAAAAUAAAAGAGUUAUUCUGAUUUGUUCAGAUACUCUUGACUCUUUGGAGACCAGGAUUCUUCACUGGCCUGGGCAAAUAGCAUUGACGGAAGUGGGCCAGAGGGCCAACCCUCAAAGCCUUGAACCAUUUGGACUCAUUCUGCACUCUUUCCAGCCAGCAUAAAUGAAAAGGCAGUCUGAGCUGCCUACAUUCUUUGGGCAUAAGAGUGAUGUCAGUCCAGAGAGUCUGACCUGGCUAGUUGCUCUUCAUUGGAGCCCAGGCCUUUCCCCACCCAGUCUGGGGACAGAACUCACUGCUGUGCCAGUAUUUGAAGGUACUGACCCUGCCUACCCCACAUUCAUUGCCUGCUUCUUCUUUCCAACUUCACCAGCUGGUUUCCAGGGACCUGAUCCUGCUGGCUUUUGGCCUGCCCUGUCUGACAGCUGCCUGAACACUGGGACUUAAAAAUUAGUUCUAAAUGCCUGAGUCCAGCCACCACAUUCCAAUCUAUUUUUAGGACCAAUCCUCCUUCUUUGGCUCCCUGAGAAACCACUCUUCUUUUUCUGUUUCUUAAACUACUUCCAUUCCCAGUUCAGACUGAGGUCUCCUCACCUGGGAAUGCAAAGCUUAGGGUUUCCAGUUCCCACUCACCAGCCAAGGAGAAGAUGCUGUUUUCACUCAAUUUCUCUAGUCUGAGAAGAGGUAAGACUUGAUAUGAUAGUAAGUUAAAGAAAGACAGCCAAAAUUGUAUGCACAUGGACAUUACUAACAUUUAAAAAUUAUUUUUAUUUUAAUCAUGAAAGUGACACAAGCGUAUUGCAAAAACUUUAGAGAAUACAGUAAGAAUAAUUUAUAUUUUAAUUAUUAUUUUCUUCUUGAUCUGUUCUUGUGCUCAGAAGUUUGUUGUUAUUGGUUAAAUAUAUUAUUCGUGCACACAGGAUAAAAUUCAAGUAGUAAAACAUCACUGUUCCCCUGCCAUCCGGUUCUUCUCCUGAAGGGAAUUGUUCAUAAUAUUCUUUUAUAAUCCUUUUUAUUUCUGUAAAAUCUGUAGUGAUGUUCUACUUUCUUUCCUGAUUUUGGUAAUGUGGUUUUUCUCACUUUAUAUUUCAGUCAACCUAAGUAAAGAUUUGUCAAUUUUGUUGAUCUUUUUUAAAGAACCAGCUUUUGGUGUUGAUUUUCUUCAUGUCGUUUUUCUAUUCUCUUGUUUUUGCCUCCGUGCCAUUGUUCUCUAUCUACUGCUAGCUGUGGACUCAGUUUGCUCUUCUUUUUCUAGUUCCUUAAGGUGUAAAAUCAGGUUGUUAAUUGACUUUGCCACUCUUUCUAAUAUACAUGUGUAUGUAUUAUUUUUAUUUUAUUUUAAUUAUCCUACGGUAUAAUUGAGUUUUUGCAAUGCUGUUUUAUGAAUUUUAGCAAAUAAACAGAUUUACAUAACUAAUGUCACAAUCAGGAUACAGAAGAUCUACUUAUUUUGUUAGUUACUGAGAAAUGAAUUGCAAAAUCUUCAGCUAUAAUUGUGAUGUGUGCAUUUAUUUCUUUCAUAAUUGUUACCAGCAGUUGUUGAUAUGAUAUAUAAAGUUACUUUCUCCUUUUGUAAUUAAUCAUAUUUUAUGGUGUUUUGAAACUAUGUAAAUAUUAUAUUUUCAUCAAAAUUUUAAUUUAUUCAUUGAUUUUAAAUUUUUAUUUUUUAUUUCAUUUUAGAGAGAAAAAGCACAUGAGUGGGGGAGAGGAGCACAGGGAGAGAGGGGGUGGGGGGAGAGAAAUCUUAAGCAGGCCCCAAGCUCAGAGCAGGGUCAGGCUUAAUUCUAUGACCCUGGAAUUAUGACCUGGAAUUAUGAGCUGAAAUCAAGAGUCAGACACUCAACCGAUGGAGCCACCUACAUGCCCCUGAUUUUUUAUUAAUAUAAAUUCAUAAUUUCAUAUUUUAUCUGAUGGGCUAUAGUCUGUUAAAAUAUCAUUAUUUAUUUUGCAGCUCACAUUACAUGCGAUUUCAUCACUAGAGCUUCUUCAAGCUUGCUCGAGUCCCUUUGAUAUGUCCCUGUCAUUCUUUGAGCACUUCCUUGUUUCUUGCACAAGAUGUUCCAGUCUCACUUGUAUUUUUCCAUGCCCCAAACUUGCAAUCAGCCAUUUCUCCAAGAAAUGGAGAAUGUUAUUUAGAACCAAGAUCUUGACACUAAGUAUAUUGAUUGUUUUUGGGUGUCAUUGCCCCUAAGCUCUUUUAUUUUUUAUUUUAUUUUAUUUUUAAGUAAACUCUAUGCCCAGUGUGGGAGUCAAACUCAUGACCCUGAGAUCAAAAAUCACAUGCUCUAGGGGUGCCUGGGUGGCUCAGUCGGUUGGGCGUCCAACUUCAGCUCAGGUCAUAAUCUCACCGUCCGUGGGUUCGAGCCCUGCAUCAGGUUCUGUGCUGACAGCUCGGAGCCUGGAACCUGCUCGGAGCCUGGAUUCUGUGUCUCCCUCUCUCUCUGCCCCUCCCCUGCUCAAGCUCUGUCUCUGUCUCUCUCAAAAAUAAAUAAAUAUUUUUUAAAAAUUUAAAAAAAAAUCACAUGCUCUACCAUCUGAGUGAGCCACGCACUCCUACCCCCAGGCCCUUUUAGUAGACACACUUAUUUAUAUUUAUAUUCAUUCCUACAUCGAUCCAUCAUCUAUUGAUCUACCUAUCAUCUAUCCAUGUACUGAAAACUAUGAUUUUGCACCAAUACCUCCAAUUUCAAUCCAACAUCACGGGUUUCAUUCCACUUUUCUACCUUUCCGUGUUUCUAACUCUAAUACUGGUAAGAAAAUCCAGGCUUCUAUUAUUCCUAAUACUAUUACUUAUUUUUUAUCAAUCUACUAGUUUGUAACCAAUCUCUUAUUCCUGUACCCCUCUCUCUCCUGUGCAGAUGCCCACCUUAUCCCACUUGAACUCCAACAGACACCUUGCACCAGGUUGCCCUACAUGGAGGCACUUUCACCCAGUUUUGCCUCUGACUUCUUGUGCCAUCAUUGCCUCCUGUGGGGACACUCUCCUCAUCCUCCUUUGGCAUUGAAAACCUGGUUUGAGCUGCUGCUUCUGAGGGAUACCCUUGUCACCUGGUGAGCAGAGAAGAGUUAAUAUAGCAGACCUGAGACUGCUCUCCAUAGAAGAGCCUGCUUGAAAGGUUGGCCUGUGGCUAGCGUCUGGUAACUUGGAUUUCAGGAGGGUUUCAGCAUUCCCGUGAGAAGGGUGGCUCACUGUGUCCCAACUGUUUGUAUAAAUAACAUGCUUUAUACUGAACAAACUGCUUUCCUUGUGGGUAUCUGGGAUUCUGGCUAGGCAUAGAGUGCCUAUAUGACCAACUUCCAACAAAAACUUUGGGCCCUGAGUCUCUAAUAGGCUUCCCUGGUAGACAACAUUUCAUACAUGUUGUCACAAUUUGUUGCUGGAGGAAUUAAGCAUGUUCUGUAUGACUCCACUGGGAGAGAGAACCCUCAGAAGCUUGUAUCUAGUGUCCUCUGGACUUUACCUCAUGUACCUUUCCUUUUGCUGAUUUUGGUUUGUAUCAUUUUGCUGUAAUAAAUCCUAGCCAUGAGUAUGACUAUGUGCUGGGUCCUGGUUAAUCAUUGAACCUGGGGGUAGUCUUGGGGACCUCUGUCAAACCUGGCUUGGGUUCUGAAAACUUGGAAUGGGCUGCCUCU
rnacentral:lncRNA from 1 species